rnacentral:lncRNA from 1 species
UAAUGAACACCCAUAACAUUUAUUCCUUGCUUAGCCAAUAAAAUAUGUAUUACAAUUCAUACGCAUCUACAAAUCAUAUAUACAAGGUAGAAUUAAUCAUAAUAUAUUUUCACAAUAUUACAGCAGCUACUGUUCGCCACUAUUUAGCUGCUAAGACCAUCGCCAAUGUUGCCCGAAACACCACCUCCAGUCUAUUCUCUUUAACAUUAAUCUGCACGCUGAAUCAUCUUUUCCUUCAUCAUUUAGCGCAUAGAAUAUCUUUCUUGUUUCCAGGCUACAUGUUGUUUGUGAUAAAAACAACAAUUCAGUGAAAAUUGUUCUUCACAAAAUGAACAGUUUGCUUGCUCCUUGUCUCAACACACAAGAAUGAAAUCAAAUAAAUCUUGAGUUAAGUAAAUGUAGAAAUUUCAUCUAAAAUAGAACAUAAAAGCUAUGUCAGCCACAUGAGAGUUCCAUUCUGAUUCCUGAAACCUCAUUUGAAAUCCCAACAAUUUAAAAUACAUUGUGCAUAUUCAUUAAUUACAAUAUAAUUCAAGUCCAUUUAUGCUAUAAAGGAACAAAUCAGAUCUAUCUAAAUAUCAUGAAUAUAGAAUCACAAACUGCACACACAUAAAUAUAUUAUUUACAACAAUAAUUCCAACUGAAAACAAUCUUUAAUAAUAAAAUAGCUCCAUACAUAUUUAUCAUUCAAGUCCAAACAUGAUCACUUGAUCAACACAUGAACAAAUAAUCACUUACUUUCAGACUUUUCCAUCUGAUUCAUCACCUGUGAACAAGCAUAUAUUUCCAACAUUUGUGACCAAAACUAUGGUUAUGAAAUGAGGAAAAGUAGCAAGAAUAUUUUGCCAGGAUGUUUCUGAAGGAGUACAAAGUCCUAAUGUAUAAGAUUGUGCAAAACAAGCACCCGUGAGGUGGAUAUAUGACUUCUUUACGUUAGCUGAUGGAUGCAGCUCCAAAAACCAAGCAUUCCUUAUUUUGAACAAAAUGUCCCACGCUAACUUUAUUAUAGGCACACAUAAAGACAAGUGAAUGAUAUGCACACAUUCGUUGGACAAAUAACUCUCAGUAACAACGCUUUUGUCACUGAAGUUUCAGGCUUCCAAAUAUAAAGCUUGGCAUAUAAUUGGCGUCUGCUAAAAAUGGCUCAAUACACCAAUCUAAAUAAUUAUGUGAUCGUCGAGUCUAGGUCCUAGAUUGUUUAAAAUGGCAGUACUGGUGAUGAAACUGGCAACUUGAAGAUCGGAUGUGAUUGAUCUUUCUAUAUUUUAUGGUGAGAUGAUCAUGAUUACAUAAAACAACAUCAAAUAAACUUUUGGUCUGCGUUGAACACCAUCACAAUAUUUUGAGCAAGGAUAGCUAGAAUGGGUUUUAUCUCUGCUAAUAUUGGAACAAUGACUGCAAAUAGAGGUGGAGGUGGAUUUGCAUUUACCAAAAUAAUGUCGGUUUCGAGCUUCUGCCCCUCAAAUAGUUCAUCAAUCUAAAUUAUCCUGUCUACAGCUAGCUCUGAAUAUCCAGUCGAUUGCAUCUUAGGCGAGUAGUUUACACCAACCUGAAUAUCAUGGAAGAGGCGUUGACCGCUACAUCUCAAGAUGCCUUCCGUUGCAGCAUGUUCUCUCCUGCAUUCAUCCUCCGCCCUUCUCAUAUUUGGCCUUCUUACUGUACUCACAACGCCUAUCUUCUCCUUCUCUCCCUACCAGUAACAACACCGUAAGGAUUUUAAUAAAAAAAUUGAUUCAACAUAAAACGUAUUUUGUUAAUUCAUCAUAGCUACAAUAUCCUUACUACUUCAAUCAAUCACUGAAAUAAUAUCACAAACAUCACAAAUUUGAAAUAAAAGUUGGAAGGCGGGAUAAUGGGAAUACCAGCAGUGUGACAGGCUGACAGCGAAAUAACUGGAAGUUACACACCAAGGAUAAUCCAAACCGACCUUGUACAUAUUGUUGUGUUCAUCUCUGAAUCCAUACACCGUGUAGUUUC